CCUGUGCCAUCUUAAAUCUUUGCUUCCUGUUUUCCUUUGCUGAUCAUUGGCCAUCACUCUGUCGCAGAUUCCAUCAUUAUCUUCCUUUCUUCUAUCAGUGGAACUAAGAUGGCUAGUUGCAAGGGUCUUUCUAUGUAGUGCUCACAGGUAGCGCAGAGAAGAGAGGGAGGGCCAGCAGUGUUCCUGAAAGCAAAAAUUGAUAAGGAGGAUCGGAAGCCCACAGGAAGGAAAGAACAGCAUGAGGGCAUCCUUCCUCUUGAACCAAAGUCAUUGAAUUCUCGGAGAUAUAAGCAAGGACAUCAGCCAUCUUUGGCAUCCAUCACUAGACAGACAC